rnacentral:rRNA from 1 species
CCUACGGGUGGCAGCAGUGAGGAAUAUUGGUCAAUGGGCGCGAGCCUGAACCAGCCAAGUAGCGUGAAGGAUGACUGCCCUACGGGUUGUAAACUUCUUUUGCCGGGGAGCAACGGGCGUCACGUGUGGCGCCCCUGAGAGUACCCGGAGACAAAGCAUCGGCUAACUCCGUGCCAGCAGCCGCGGUAAUACGGAGGAUGCGAGCGUUAUCCGGAUUUAUUGGGUUAAAAGGGUGCGUAGGCGGAUCGUUAAGUCAGUGGUCAAAUUGAGGGGCUCAACCCCUUCCCGCCAUUGAAACUGGCGUUCUUGAGUGGAAGAGAGGUAUGCGGAAUGCGUGGUGUAGCGGUGAAAUGCAUAGAUAUCACGCAGAACCCCGAUUGCGAAGGCAGCAUGCCGGCUUCCGACUGACGCUGAAGCACGAAAGCGUGGGGAUCGAACAGGAUUAGAUACCCCAGUAGUC